rnacentral:rRNA from 1 species
UACGUAGGGCGCAAGCGUUUAUCCGGAAUUAUUGGGCGUAAAGAGCUCGUAGGCGGUUUGUCGCGUCUGCUGUGAAAAAACCCGAGGCUCAACCUCGGGCCUGCAGUGGGGUACGGGGCAGACUAGAGUGCGGUAGGGGAGAUUUUGGAAUUCCUGGCGUAGCGGUGGAAAAUGCGCAGAUAUCAGGAGGAAACACCGAUGGCGAAAGGCAGAUCUCUGGGCCCGUAAACUGACGCUGAGGGAGACGAAAGCGUGGGAGCGAAACAGGG